rnacentral:tRNA from 1 species
GCCGGCGUAGCUCAGUGGUUAGAGCGAGGGUCUCAUAAUCCCUAGGUCGGCCGUUCGACUCGGCCCGCCGGUACCA